AUCUGCAGCCAGAAUACCCUGAAUACAUCUGAUCUCCGAAACUAAACAGGGUUGUGCCAGGUUACUAUUUAGAUAGGAGAACCUUGUCAGUGAUU
rnacentral:rRNA from 1 species